ACGGAGGGUGCGAGCGUUAAUCGGAAUUACUGGGCGUAAAGGGUGCGUAGGUGGUUAAAUAAGUUGUCUGUGAAAUCCCCGGGCUCAACCUGGGCAGGUCAGAUAAUACUGUUUAACUCGAGUAUGGGAGAGGGUAGUGGAAUUUCCGGUGUAGCGGUGAAAUGCGUAGAGAUCGGAAGGAACACCAGUGGCGAAGGCGGCUACCUGGCCUAAUACUGACACUGAGGCACGAAAGCGUGGGGAGCAAACAGG
rnacentral:rRNA from 1 species